ensembl:lncRNA
AUGCUGCCAAUCGCACGGCGCCAGGGCGGCUCCCCCCCACCGCCCCCGCCUGGAGGGCUGGGGUCCCCCCCGCCCUCCCCGCCCCGCCCCGCCCGGCUGGGAGUCGGCGCCCCCUCCCAGUGCCGCGCCCCGCUCCGGUCCGCGGGUCCCCCACCCGCGCUCCGGCCCACAGGAGAAAGGGAGGGGGAGGCUUUCACUGCACGCCGCGAGCGCUGCCCGACGCCAGCCCCCAAUCCCUCCCGCUACUGCCACACCCGCCCCUUCCCCUGCGUGAGUAACCUGCUUUCCCCAAACAGGCCGCGGCGGCCGGGCAUUUCCUGGGGGCCCAGAGACCCAGCCCGGAGCCCCCUGCCGGCGGCCUGGAAGACCCUGCACGAGGGGCCUGAAUGCGGGCCGCGGCCGCAAGGAGGCCGAGGUCCCGUCCCGGCGGCUCCUGGGGCCCCGGGGUGGGCACCCCGCCACACCCCUUCUGGGGGGCCCGGAAGAGCUCCCUACCUGCGACCCGCUCCGCUCCGCCAGCUGCUCGGCUCCGACUGCAAGAAGCUCGCUGGGGAGGGGGCGUGUUCCGCCGGGCUGGCCCGCCGAGGCUCCGCCUCCACAAGCUCCCAGCCAAUGGGAGCCGGGGCGCCCGACGGCCAGGGGGCGGGGCGCGCGGGGCCAGCCCCGACGGGACCUUUGUGUCCGCGCGCCGGACUGGCGGGAGCGCGGGUCGCCGGGCUCGGGGAGGGGACCGCGGCCCCUCGUCCCGCGGGGGAGCCGGGAGGAUGCCCGCCCGUGCUGCACCUACGGUCGGAACAUUCCCCUGAAAAGUGGAGGUCCCGUUCAGGUCCCUCCCCUAACAACCCGCGGCAGGUCCGGGCCCAGCUGACCUCUGCUCCAGAAUCCGCAAGGCCCGCGGCGCCUCCGUUUCAGCGGAGAAAAAGAGCUCCAGGAACGAUGAGAACGAAUAAAAAGAGAAGAGAGGAAACUGAGGCAUGGAGAUAGGUGAGCACACCCCGUCCCCUGCCUGGCCACUGCAAGUCUCUGCAAGAGAAGCCCCUAAAAGCCAGCCCAGCCCUGGACCGUGGCUCAGGUUGGUGGAGGGGCAGGGAGGGAACCCCUUAACUGUCCUGGGCCUAUAGUCCCAGGGCUGGAAGUGGCACUUGGGUCCCUGCUGGAGCCCACCAGCUCUGCUUGCCUCUCAAUCUCUCCCUCUUUUCCCCUCCCCACGUGCAAAGACACCACUGAGGACACAGCAAGAAUACAGCUGUCCCCAAGCCAGGAAGAGGGUCCUCCACCAGGAACCAAAUCUCGGGCAUUCUGAACUUGGACUUCCCAGGUUCCAAAAACGUGAGAAGUCACUUUCUGUUGCUUAUGCCACCCAGUCUGGUGUUGUGUUAUGGCAUCAGGAACAGCCUUUUCCUCCUCAACUAACCACAGAAUUUUUUUAAUUUUUAUUUUUUUUAAGUUUAUUUAUUUUGAGAGAGAAACAACACCAUUGGGGGAGGGGCAGAGAGAGAGAGAGAGAGAGAGAGAGAGAGAGAGAGAGAGAAUCCCAAGCAGGCUCAGCACUGUCGGUGCAGAGCCUGAUCCAGGGCUCGAACUCAAGAACGGGAGGUCAUGACCUGAACCAAAAGCAAGCAUUGGGUGCUUAACCAACUGAGUCCCCCGGGCACCCCAGCCUCUGAGAAUCCCACACCUGAGUUUGGUGCAGUUCCCGUCUGCAGUCAUUCACUGGGUAUCAUCGGUGCCAGGCCUCCCUUUGCGGUGCUGAGCAUCCAGAGUAAAAAGUGCCCACCCAGUUCCCGCCCUGGAGGAGGUGCCUCCUCCAGAGGGAUGGCAGGCAGGUUGAUAAGGUAGGGUGUCGGGUGGUGGGCUGGAUAAGCAUCCCUGGCUCAGUGAGUGCCCUGCCCUUGGCCCUAUCAGAGAAGACGGGUCUGUGGAGAAAUUCUCUCUCCCAACUUGCCACGGCUUGAGCCUCCUGCAACCAGAGACAUCAGCCCACUAUCAUGGCCCCAUCUCAUGGCACCAGCCUAGUGGCCAGACUUGAGCCAGCAACAGAUGAGAAGAUCUGGCCUAACUUUUCCACCCAAUAAAGACCAAUCAUCCGUCCA